rnacentral:RNase_P_RNA from 1 species
GGGAUGGGUCAUCGCGUGUCAAUACGCCGCAAGGUAUGGCAUGAGGAAAGUCCGGGCAUCGCAGGGCAGGAUAACGGAUAACGUCCGCCGAGGGCAACCUCCGGGAAAGUGCAACAGAAAUAGCCUACCGUCAGCGGGAUACCGCAGGCGGUACAGAUGGAAAGGCGAGGUAAAAGCUCACCGGCACGACAGGCAACUGUGUGCAAAUGUAAACCCUAUCCGAUGCAACACCUUACCGCAGGGAUGCCAUGCAUCCAGACCGGCCCGGUCCGUCUGCAAAGGUGGCUCGAGGUAUCUGGCAACAUUUAUCCCAGAUGGAUGAUGACCGGGGAGCUCCGCUCCUCACAGAACCCGGCUUACAUUCCCUCC